rnacentral:rRNA from 1 species
AUUGAACGCUGGCGGCAGGCCUAACACAUGCAAGUCGAACGAGCGGCGGACGGGUGAGUAAUGUCUGGGAAACUGCCUGAUGGAGGGGGAUAACUACUGGAAACGGUAGCUAAUACCGCAUACCAUCAGAUGUACCCAGAUGGGAUUAGCUUGUUGGUGGGGUAAAGGGUCACCAAGGCGACGAUCCCUCGCUGGUCUGAGAGGGUGAUCAGCCACACUGUGACUGAGACACGGUCCAGACUCCUACGGGAGUCAGCAUUGGGGAAUAUUGCACAAUGGGCGCAAGCCUGAUGCAGCCAUGCCGCGUGUAUGAAGAAGUCCUUCGGGUUGUAAAGUACUUUCAGCGGGGAGGCGUUACCCGCAGAAGAAGCACCGGCUAACUCCGUGCCAGCAGCCGCGGUAAUUC